rnacentral:sRNA from 1 species
ACUCUGAGGACUGACUCUUAUCAGCUGGGGAGCAAACACAGGCCAGCUGGAGACCGAGAUGACAGAAGGCAGGCACUGCCAGGUGCACCUCCUGGAUGACAGGAGACUGGAGCUGCUGGUUCAGCCCAAACUUCUAGCAAGAGAGUUGCUGGACCUAGUGGCUUCACAUUUCAACCUGAAAGAAAAGGAGUAUUUUGGAAUAACAUUCAUAGAUGACACAGGUCAGCAGAACUGGCUACAGUUAGAUCACCGAGUUCUUGACCACGAUUUGCCCAAGAAACCAGGCCCAACCAUUUUGCACUUUGCUGUGAGGUUUUACAUUGAGAGCAUAUCGUUUUUAAAGGAUAAAACCACCGUGGAGCUGUUUUUCCUGAAUGCAAAGGCCUGUGUGCACAAGGGGCAAAUUGAAGUAGACAGCGAAACCAUCUUCAAGUUAGCAGCGUUUAUUUUACAGGAAGCCAAGGGAGAUUAUACCAGUGAUGAAAAUGCCAGGAAAGAUUUAAAGACAUUACCAGCCUUUCCAACCAAAACUCUUCAGGAGCAUCCAUCCCUUGCCUACUGUGAGGACAGGGUAAUUGAGCAUUAUUUGAAAAUCAAAGGUCUCACUCGGGGUCAAGCUGUGGUUCAGUAUAUGAAAAUAGUAGAAGCUCUACCAACUUAUGGUGUCCAUUAUUAUGCAGUAAAGGAUAAGCAAGGACUUCCUUGGUGGCUUGGAAUCAGCUAUAAGGGAAUUGGCCAAUAUGAUAUACAAGACAAGGUGAAGCCUCGGAAGUUAUUCCAAUGGAAACAGCUGGAGAACUUAUAUUUCCGUGAGAAAAAAUUUGCUGUUGAAGUUCAUGAUCCACGAAGGUGAGGAUCAAAUACUUUUCUCUGUAUGACCCAGUUACAAAUAAUGCUGCUAUCAACAUUUGUGUACAAGUUUUUAUAUGAACGUAUGUUUUCAUUUCUCUUGGGUAUAUACCUAGGAAUGGAAUUGCUGGGUCAAAUGGUAACUAUCUUUAACCCUUUGAGGAACAGCAAGGCUGCUUUUCAAAGUGCUGCACCAUUUUACAUCCCAAGCAGCAGUAUAUGUGGUUCCAAUGCCGACACAUCCUCACCGACACUUGUUAUUUUUAGUUUUGUGUGCAUGUAUAGUUUAUGCCAUCCUAGUGGGUUGAAGUGGUACCUUCUUGUGGUUUUGAUUUGCACGUCCCUCAUGACUAAUGAUGGCUGAGCAUCUUUUCAUGUGCUGCUUAGCUAUUCCUAUAUCUUUAGUAGAGAAAUGUCUAUUCAGAUCUUUUGCUCAUUUAAAAUGUUGGUGUUCUUGGUCAUUAAAAAAAAAAAAGCCAAAUUACCAACAUGAACUGAAGUCAGGUUGUGGGUUCUCAAAUAUCUUAGGAGAAAUCCCGCCCCCGCCCCCGCCCCCGCCCCGCCCCAACCGCCAAGACAGAGUCUUACUCUGUCACCCAGACUGCAGUGCAGUGGCGCAGUCUUGGCUCACUGCAACCUCCACCUCCCAGGGUCAAGUGAUGCUCAUGCCUCAGCCUCCCAAGUAGCUGGGAGUACAUGCAUGCACCACCACGCCAAGCUAAUUUUUGUAUUUUUAGUAGAGACGGGCUUUCACCAUGUUGGCCAGGCUGGUCUCAAACUCCUGACCUCAGGUGAUCCGCCCGUCUUGGCCUCCCAAAGUGCUGAGCCAUGGCGCCCGUCCUUAAGAGAAAUUCUUAAUCAGUCCUUAGUGGGUACUUUUCAGUCCCAAGAUGGUUAUGGAUGUUUAGAGGCCAGAGGGAUGGGAGGAAAUACCUGUGAUAAAAGGUGACCUGAAGAGAUAAGCCAAAUUCCUACAAAGAAC